rnacentral:rRNA from 1 species
AUGCACGCUGGCGGCGUGCCUCAUCCCUGCCAGUCGAGCGAACAGACGUGGAGCUUGCUCCUCUGACGUUAGCGGCGGACGGGUGAGUAACACGUGGAUAACCUACCUAUAAGACUGGGAUAACUUCGGGAAACCGGAGCUAAUACCGGAUAAUAUAUUGAACCGCAUGGUUCAAUAGUGAAAGACGGUUUUGCUGUCACUUAUAGAUGGAUCCGCGCCGCAUUAGCUAGUUGGUAAGGUAACGGCUUACCAAGGCAACGAUGCGUAGCCGACCUGAGAGGGUGAUCGGCCACACUGGAACUGAGACACGGUCCAGACUCCUACGGGAGGCAGCAGUAGGGAAUCUUCCGCAAUGGGCGAAAGCCUGACGGAGCAACGCCGCGUGAGUGAUGAAGGUCUUCGGAUCGUAAAACUCUGUUAUUAGGGAAGAACAAAUGUGUAAGUAACUAUGCACGUCUUGACGGUACCUAAUCAGAAAGCCACGGCUAACUACGUG